AAUAGCAAACAGAGUAAGGGUCUGCUGUUCAACUGCGGCCUCCCUCCCCAACUCUGAACCAUCCUGUAACAGAAAGCAGCGACUCCUGCAAGGGUGCCUUUGACUGGACUUUCUCAUGGGGGCGGCGGUGGAUGGGAGUGAAGAACUUCAAGAUUACAAAUAUCCGUCUCAGUUGAUGCUGAAUUACUCGUCGACAGAUAAGAAAAGGUCUGUUUGGACAUUCAAAGAAGCUACACAUACAAAGAUGGUUUGGCUCCGUGCCGUCAGUCCCAGCAUUUGAAAAAAAGAAAGAAAGAAAGAAAGAAAGAAAGAAAGAAAGAAAGAAAGAAAGAAAGAAAGGAAGGAAGAAAGGAAGGAAGGAAAGAAGGAAGGAAGAAAGAACAAGAAGAGUCUGAGCAUUUCCAUGCUCAUCUUUGCCUCAAAUUAAUAAGUAAGUAAAUAAAUAAAUAAAGUGCAAGGCAGAAGAAAGUUUGCUGCUUGUGUCUGUAGGUCGUCGUGCACGCGUGUAUGAAUGUCUUGGAGUCAUAUUUGUGCGUUACCUCCCCCCACCCCCAACACACUCUCAAAGACAAGGGCGUGGAGGGAUCGCCCCCAGAGAGCUGUGUUUACUCUUUUUUUUUUUUUUUCAAUCUCUCGGCUAUGUAUGACAAGUGUUACUUGAAGAUAGUCAUCGGCCUUCUCCAGAUACUUCCAGGUUUGCCAUAAUGAUCUGCAGAAGAGAGCUGCCAUCACUUUCUCACAUCCCAAGGUGUUGGCGGAACUCGGAGCGUGGGGAGAGUGCCUGCAAUGCUUAAUUACCAAGGGGAGGGCGGGGUGCCGCCCUAACGCCGGGCGGCUGUUGGGGAGGUAAACUGCAACCCAGGAGGUCUUUCUGGACGCUGGACUCUCCAGUCGGAGAGUAUUUGGACAAGGUAUGAUUGCCUCCCACCUCCCACCUCUCUCUCCCAAUGCCUUUGGGGAGAAGUGAUACCCUUGUGUAACAAUUAGCUCAGACAAUAAAAAUAAUUGGAAAAUCA